UACGUAGGGCGCAAGCGUUGUCCGGAAUUAUUGGGCGUAAAGAGCUCGUAGGCGGCUUGUCACGUCGGGUGUGAAAGCCCGGGGCUUAACCCCGGGUCUGCAUUCGAUACGGGCUGGCUAGAGUGUGGUAGGGGAGAUCGGAAUUCCUGGUGUAGCGGUGAAAUGCGCAGAUAUCAGGAGGAACACCGGUGGCGAAGGCGGCUUUCUGGGCCUGUCCUGACGCUGAGGCGCGAAAGCUGGGGGAGCGAACAGG
rnacentral:rRNA from 1 species